AACCUGUGGCGGCGGCGGCGGCAGCAGCUGGAGAGCGAGAGAGCACCGGCUCAUUCAGUCCUGUGCUCUCUCUCUCCGUGGUGGAGGACGUCUCUCUCUCCCUCCCUCCCUCUCUCUCUCUCUCUCUCUAACACCUUCCAUCCAUUUCCUUUGUCUCGGGGGUUUUCCGUCUCCACUUGUCCCUGUUUACCCAGGACUGGACCAUCCCGUCAGUCAGUGCGCAGCUGUUGUUGGCACUCCCACAUCUGCUGCUGUCGGCUCCACAGCCAUAUAGACGACGCUCGGCCGCGGAACAUGUUCGUGUGUGUCUGCGGAGAGCCGCCUUUCACUGCACACACACACACACACACACACACACACACACACACACACACACACACACACACACACACACACACACACACACACACACACACACACACACACACACACAGAGGUUUGCGUGUGUUUGCUUGCAGCACUGCUUUUUUUGCCAGGAUGGAAAAAAGAAGCAGAGAAGGAAGAUGUGGUUUCUGUUUCACCGCGAUGCUGCAGGACAGGUGCGUGAUGAAUGUGGAAAUCAGGUAAUCUUGUGGACACUGCUGCACGGACAUGACGCUGUACUUAUCUACGGAGCUGCUGACAGGUCACCUUUCAGGACGCCAGGAGGAUCCACAUGGGAACCAACAGCAUGACAGGUUAUGUGUAUUGGCUGGAUUAUCUUUAUUCACAUCAUGACAGGAGUUAAUCACAGGCACAUUCACAGGAGACUUUAAUGGCAACUCUGUCAAGCCAGUAAGAUAAAUUACAUCAAUUAAGCCUAUUUCAUGUGAUACAUCUUUUCGCAUUGGGUGUAUUUCAUCCCUGUUGUCUCUAAAUAAAAAGGAGAAAUGAGAGAAGAGCCAUUCCCUGGGGUUACAUGGGAAGACAGUUGGGUUGCGUCCCACUUUUCUGCUGCUUUGUGUUGUGUGUUCCUCUCCAGUUACACUGAAGAAAGAGCAGAUCUGGGCUCGCCCUGGACCUCAUUGUAAACCUGGCGACAUUGCACCACCACCCCCCCUCCGCUGUGCUGCAAACCAAAAAGACUGUGAUCGAUGCACGAUGCCACCACUGCUCUCCUGCACCUUUCAGACGGAGAGGAUCCAUGUUGGAGUGUUCCCCCACUGACAGAUGAUCUCUGCUGCCUUUGUGCGUCAGUGAACGCAGCUUUGAAGAGUUAAAAAACCCACCGCUCCCUAGUAUAGUCAGUGUGAGCAUGAUCAGAUUAAGCAGGAAUGUAUUUCAUAUGAAAAAGUUUUUGCUGGAGCGUUGAGGUUUUUUUUUUUGUCACCCCUCAAACGUCUGUAUUUCUCCCCCCCCUCAUCCCCUGCUGUGAUUAAUACCAAAUACAGCUUCAUCCGCCCCCGCUCUCACUUUUGGCUGAUCAAAAACACUGACACUGCAGCCAUCGAACGCGUCACGCUCGCUUUCUUCAGCUGCCGUGUGCAGUGACCUCUUCCCGCUGUUACCUUGGUUACUCUGUCUAACGCUGUAGUCACUUCUCGCCCAUGUAGGAGAGACACUUUUAACAACAGUGUUUUCUUGUGUAUUAACUUCUCGACAAAGCAAGCAUGUAUCUGUGCCAGGACCAGAAUACAUUUUAAUAUAUUAAGUGUGUGAGGAUGGUUUCCACACAUUUUACAAAGUGUGAUUAAGACAGUAUGUCUUUGUCUGUCUUGAAUCCUCUUAAUUUGAGUUACUUUAUACAGAAUUUUUUUUUUACUGUCAGUGUGGGUGUGUUUGUGUGUCUGUGUGAGUGCACUUGUGUGUAUGCAUGUGCUCUAAUCAGGUUUGUGUGUGUUCAUCCUCGUAACUGUGCAUGUGUAUUUGUCUGUCUGAUAUUUGUACUGGGCCUGAAACUAUAAACUGCUUAACUGUGAUUUCUCCAUAGCUGAAAACCUUCUUUAAAAAAAACGCCACUGGAUGUAACAGAGAAGGGAUAAAAAAAAUAUUUACAUAUGAUUCUUAGCAUUUGUUACGACCUCAUUGAAGAACCAGUUGGGUGAUUGUCACAAGAAUGCUGCUGGAAAUUAAUGGUGUGUAGUUUUCUAAACGACGCCUGCUGGCAUUAAUUACACUGCUCGGUUGCUCGCAGCCUCGUCAUCUGAUACUUAAGCAAAUGACAUCAAAUGCUAAUAAUUAUGUGCAAAUAGCUUUUUACCCAGGUCUGGAUCGUACUACUAACAGUAUCUCACUAAUAUCUAACAGUACUAAUGUGUGCUAAUGAUGAUUACUAACCUGUCCUCUGAAUGCUGAUGGCUGGCCUGGUUCCUCUCUAACCCACUGACUAACCCUCUGCUUUAUACGUACACACUCCUCUCUCAUGACCCUGCAAUCCUUCUACCGAUGGCCACCGUCAGAUUAAUUAUUAAUCACAAAGAAAAAUCUAAAAUUUUUUAAAGUGAGCGCGUCAAGAAGGGUUUCAGGACAUGGGAAGGGAAAUGUUAUUAACCACCAAAUGAAAAGAGGAGCAGACGCAGCUGCUGGUAUAAAGAUGGGUUGACCACGCACCUAACAGAAGCUGACUCUCAUCUGAUUCCACAUGAUUCUUACAGUUUAUUCCCUCGCCGAAGGCUGAAUUCAAAUAUUCGGAGAGCAGCUUUGUGUCUGUGUCUGUGCACUGUGUGGUCAACCUGUGCAGGUGAGUGCCUGGCUUGUUGUGCAGUGACACACACAAGCCAAGCAAACCUCAGCUCCACUACUAACUCCUUCUGGUGUCGAUACUAACAAUGGCGAGGGUGUAAAGACCCGCCUGUCGCUCUUACUAACAUCUCUGUUCUCCCUGACUGAAACACUUUCAGUCCUGAUGUCUCCUUCUUAAUUUCUUUGAUCAGAUCAGAUCUAUACUAGCACCAGUGAUGUUCAUUAAAUCACAUUGCAUGGAAACCUUUAUCCUAAAUAUCCUCUAUAGUGUCAUGAGUAAGUGCAGUGAGCCGUACGACUAAAAACAACACGAGUCCUGAUGACUGAGCUCAGCAACUACUAACAUCACCUGAAGUGAACAGUUACUAACCCGAAGAGCGUUUGAACAGCUCUCUGCAAACUAACAAACUAACCCACUAAUAAACUAAUAAUCUAACAAAAACAACCACUAAAUUUACUAACUCACUUUGUGAUGAGACUUAGUGAAGCAGCCUGAUUUUGAGGAGUUGCAUUAUUUAUUGAAUGUACUAACAGAGUUAAUAUUUUAUGAAUUCAUGACAGGAUUGGAUGUGCCUGUGUGUGUGUGUGUGCGUGUGUGUGUGUGUGUGUGUGUCAGAGAGAGCACAGAAGAGCAUGUGAGUGUGUUUGCGCAGAAUGUGACAUGUGACCAUGUUCAUCGGAGCCAAAUGUUUCCACUAUUACUCUUUCCAACGAAAUGAGCAUUAAGAUGCCUCUAAAUCUCAGUUAUAACAAUCAGCCUGUGCAUGUGAAUGCAUCAUGGCAUGUAAAGAAAAAUGAGUUCAAUGUAUACAACUAUUUUUAUACCUUAUUGCUAAUUCAUCAGUUGUCUUUUACGAUAAACUUUUGUAAUAAACAUAUAUAAACAAAA